GACGAACGCUGACGGCGUGCUUAACACAUGCAAGUCGAACGAUGAAGGAGAGCUUGCUCUCCGGAUUAGUGGCGAACGGGUGAGUAACACGUGACUAACCUGCCCCUUUCUCUGGGAUAACGCUCCGAAAGGAGUGCUAAUACCGGAUACGAACUCUGAACACAUGUUCGGAGUUGGAAAGUUUUUCGGAAAGGGAUGGAGUCGCGGCCUAUCAGCUUGUUGGUGAGGUAAUGGCUCACCAAGGCGACGACGGGUAGCCGGCCUGAGAGGGCGACCGGCCACACUGGGACUGAGACACGGCCCAGACUCCUACGGGAGGCAGCAGUGGGGAAUAUUGCACAAUGGGCGAAAGCCUGAUGCAGCGACGCCGCGUGAGGGAUGAAGGUCUUCGGAUUGUAAACCUCUUUCAGUAGGGACGAAGCGAAAGUGACGGUACCUAAAGAAGAAGCACCGGCUAACUACGUGCCAGCAGCCGCAGUAA
rnacentral:rRNA from 1 species